rnacentral:lncRNA from 1 species
UGUGACACCCGGGCACUGACGAGGGCGGGGAGUGAUCGUCGGUGCAAGAAGCAUGGUGCAGGGGGCACGGACAAGGAGCGGCUCCUGGCAGGCUUCAAGUGGAAGGGGCACAUGGACGAAUCGAACAUACACCGGAAUGAGAGGGAUCUGGAGAUUGUAUAGGUAUGAGACUAUACAAUUGAAGGAUAGCUUAAAGGAAUUGAUUUGACUACUCAUAUCAACAAAUGCAUUUGCUUUUCGGUAGCCUAACUCAUAAGAACUCCAUGGUUAAGCGUGCUUAGCCUAGAGUAAUUAUGGGAUGGGUGACCUUUCGGGAAGUUUUCUCGGAAAGUGUGUGAGUGAGGACAAAGCACACUAGAAAGCCUCGUGUUGAUGUGUGAGGGCAGUCAGCAGUCCCUGUAAGUUGCCGGGGCAUUACAAAUGGUAUCAGAGCCCAGCCUCUCUCCCAGUAUGGUGUGGUUCGAGGACGAACCAGACGAAAGCUGGUGGGCAUGUGACACCCGGGCACUGACGAGGGCGGGGGGCUAUGGACGAAUCGAACAUACACCGGAAUGAGAGGGAUCUGGAGAUUGUAUAGGUAUGAGACUAUACAGUUGAAGGAUAGCUUAAAGGAAUUGAUUUGACUACUCAUAUCAACAAAUGCAUUUGCUUUUUGGUAGCCUAACUCAUAAGAACUUCAUGGUUAAGCGUGCUUAGCCUAGAGUAAUUAUGGGAUGGGUGACCUUUCGGAAAGUUUUCUCGAAAAGUGUGUGAGUGAGGACAAAGCACACUGGAAAGCCUCGUGUUGAUGUGUGGGGGCAGUCAGCAGUCCCUGUAAGUUGUC